rnacentral:rRNA from 1 species
AUUGAACGCUGGCGGCAGGCCUAACACACGCAAGUCGAGCGGAUGAAGGGAGCUUGCUCCUGGAUUCAGCGGCGGACGGGUGAGUAAUGCCUAGGAAUCUGCCUGGUAGUGGGGGAUAACGUCCGGAAACGGGCGCUAAUACCGCAUACGUCCUGAGGGAGAAAGUGGGGGAUCUUCGGGCCUCACGCUAUCAGAUGAGCCUAGGUCGGAUUAGCUAGUUGGUGGGGUAAAGGCCUACCAAGGCGACGAUCCGUAACUGGUCUGAGAGGAUGAUCAGUCACACUGGAACUGAGACACGGUCCAGACUCCUACGGGAGGCAGCAGUGGGGAAUAUUGGACAAUGGGCGAAAGCCUGAUCCAGCCAUGCCGCGUGUGUGAAGAAGGUCUUCGGAUUGUAAAGCACUUUAAGUUGGGAGGAAGGGCAGUAAGUUAAUACCUUGCUGUUUUGACGUUACCAACAGAAUAAGCACCGGCUAACUUCGUG